AGUGAUUUCUCCGUGUCGGACUUCCGUCGGUCCUUCCGUUUACGUUCAGCCGCAAAGAGGCGUUCGUCACCGGUUCAGAUCGAACCGAUACCGGUAUUCCGAAGUUGUUAAUGAUGUUCACAGGAUUCGUGUUCAGUUUGGUGUAGUGUCAGGGUUAAUAUACAUUGUGUCAACACAAGCAAAUUCAUUGCAAGCCCCCGUCGGUUGCCGUUAUUGCUCGAUGCUAAGUUUAGUGGCUUGAUGCAAGACUCGCCCUGUCGCAGUGCAGGAUUGUUAUGCUGCUAGAUCCGGAACUAGCCUUAGACCGAUGUUGCCGUUUGUGCUGAAAACCGAUUCGCAGGGCCUCGUUUGAGCACGGCUGCAGGUCUGAUCCCUCUUGCACCGCCUUGGAUUGUAGUAGCAUUAUUUCAUGGUGUAGCAUCGGGUGCCAGUGCUUUGGUUUCAACUCACUGGAUUUUGCGUUUUGCUUUGCGGUUUACCGGCUUGGAAUUGUGGCUAUAGUUUUUUGCUCGGCUGUUUGGCGUUUUGGACUCACUUUUAUGCAGGUUUUUGGUGGUAUUUAAAUGCAGAAAUUUGGUUUUGGAAUGCAGAAAUUUGGUUUUGGAAU